rnacentral:rRNA from 1 species
CGUACACUCCUGCGGGAGGCAGCAGUGGGGAAUAUUGGACAAUGGGCGCAAGCCUGAUCCAGCCAUGCCGCGUGAGUGAUGAAGGCCCUAGGGUUGUAAAGCUCUUUCACCGGUGAAGAUAAUGACGGUAACCGGAGAAGAAGCCCCGGCUAACUUCGUGCCAGCAGCCGCGGUAAUACGAAGGGGGCUAGCGUUGUUCGGAUUUACUGGGCGUAAAGCGCACGUAGGCGGACUAUUAAGUCAGGGGUGAAAUCCCGGGGCUCAACCCCGGAACUGCCUUUGAUACUGGUAGUCUUGAGUUCGAGAGAGGUGAGUGGAAUUCCGAGUGUAGAGGUGAAAUUCGUAGAUAUUCGGAGGAACACCAGUGGCGAAGGCGGCUCACUGGCUCGAUACUGACGCUGAGGUGCGAAAGCGUGGGGAGCAAACAGGAUUAGAAACCCCUGUAGUCCCAUGA